rnacentral:rRNA from 1 species
UGGGGAAUUUUGGACAAUGGGCGCAAGCCUGAUCCAGCAAUGCCGCGUGUGUGAAGAAGGCCUUCGGGUUGUAAAGCACUUUUGUCCGGAAAGAAAUCCGUCUGGCUAAUACCCGGACGGGAUGACGGUACCGGAAGAAUAAGCACCGGCUAACUACGUGCCAGCAGCCGCGGUAAUACGUAGGGUGCGAGCGUUAAUCGGAAUUACUGGGCGUAAAGGGUGCGUAGGCGGCGCUUUAAGUUUGGUGUGAAAUCUCCCGGCUUAACUGGGAGGGUGCACUGAAAACUGGGGCGCUCGAGUAUGGGAGAGGAUAGCGGAAUUCCUGGUGUUGCGGUGAAAUGCGUAGAGAUCAGGAGGAACACCUGCGGUGCAGACGGCUUUCUGGACCAUCACUGACGCUGAGGCACGAAAGCGUGGGUAGCAAACA